rnacentral:antisense_RNA from 1 species
CAGACUAGCCACUGCUCCAGGAUGACUGUGGCUCUUUAUGAGUGAAGAGAAAGGGUAGAGACUGAAGACAGAACUGGGGACAGUGAGAGGCUUGGGGAAGAACAGCUGAUUCAGCAGUCCCAAGCAUCUGAACACAAGGUGGACAUUCUCCAGGGUGACAUCGCAAAAUACAUGGGUGAAGACAACCUAGUGGCCGUGACUUGGAGCACCCUUCCUCACAAUGAAGGCAUUCUGGGCCAGCCUGAAAAACAGCAUGGAAAUAAAUCACCUAAGUACAAGGGACCUCGGUGACAACGCUGUGAACAUCUAUGGAUUCCGCAUUCAAGUACUUUGUCACAACUGUCUCCACAAGUUGGUACAUCUUCUGUACAAGGCAAAGAAAACUCUAAAAACAUACAAAAAGUCAAUGUUAAUAAUGAGACAUUAUUAUUAAACAUCAACAAAGUG